rnacentral:rRNA from 1 species
UUCUAACCGUAAAACGAUGACAACCAGCGAUUAAUCGGCGUUAAUAUACGACCCGAUUAGCAGCUUCCGGGAAACCAAAGUUUCUUCGUUUCCGGGGGAAGUAUGGUUGCAAAGCUGAAACUUAAAGGAAUUGACGGAAGGGCACCACCAGGAGUGGAGCCUGCGGCUUAAUUUGACUCAACACGGGAAAACUCACCCGGCCCGGACACUGUAAGGAUUGACAGACUGAGAGCUCUUUCUUAAUUCAGUGGGUGGUGGUGCAUGGCCGUUCUUAGUUGGUGGAGCGAUUUGUCUGGUUAAUUCCGAUAACGAACGAGACUCUGGCCUAUUAAAUAGACGAGAUAUUACUCAGUAUCUCGCGCUUCUUAGAGGGACAAGCGGCGUCUAGUCGCAUGAAAAAGAGCAAUAACAGGUCUGUGAUGCCCUUAGAUGUCCGGGGCUGCACGCGCGCUACACUGAAAGAAUCAGUGGGCGUUUUACCUGGUUCGGAAGAACCGGGUAACCCAAGUAAUUUCUUUCGUGCUUGGGAUAGGGAAUUGCAAUUAUUUCCCUUAAACGAGGAAUUCCCAGUAAACGCGGGUCAUAAGCUCGUGUUG